AUUGAACGCUGGCGGCAUGCCUUACACAUGCAAGUCGAACGGCAGCACGGGAGCAAUCCUGGUGGCGAGUGGCGAACGGGUGAGUAAAGUAUCGGAACGUGCCCAGUCGUGGGGGAUAACGUAGCGAAAGUUACGCUAAUACCGCAUACGAUCUAUGGAUGAAAGCGGGGGAUCGCAAGACCUCGCGCGAUUGGAGCGGCCGAUAUCAGAUUAGGUAGUUGGUGGGGUAAAGGCUCACCAAGCCGACGAUCUGUAGCUGGUCCGAGAGGACGACCAGCCACACUGGGACUGAGACACGGCCCAGACUCCUACGGGAGGCAGCAGUGGGGAAUUUUGGACAAUGGGCGCAAGCCUGAUCCAGCCAUGCCGCGUGCAGGAUGAAGGCCUUCGGGUUGUAAACUGCUUUUGUACGGAACGAAAAGGUUUGACUUAAUACGUUGGACUCAUGACGGUACCGUAAGAAUAAGCACCGGCUAACUACGUGCCAGCCGCCGCGGUAACAC
rnacentral:rRNA from 1 species